rnacentral:rRNA from 1 species
CCUACGGGUGGCAGCAGUGGGGAAUAUUGGACAAUGGGGGGAACCCUGAUCCAGCCAUGCCGCGUGUGUGAAGAAGGCCCUCGGGUUGUAAAGCACUUUCAGUGAGGAAGAACGCCUGGUGGUUAAUACCCAUCAGGAAAGACAUCACUCACAGAAGAAGCACCGGCUAACUCCGUGCCAGCAGCCGCGGUAAUACGGAGGGUGCGAGCGUUAAUCGGAAUUACUGGGCGUAAAGCGCGCGUAGGUGGCUUGAUAAGCCGGUUGUGAAAGCCCCGGGCUCAACCUGGGAACGGCAUCCGGAACUGUCAAGCUAGAGUGCAGGAGAGGAAGGUAGAAUUCCCGGUGUAGGGGUGAAAUGCGUAGAGAUCGGGAGGAAUACCAGUGGCGAAGGCGGCCUUCUGGACUGACACUGACACUGAGGUGCGAAAGCGUGGGUAGCAAACAGGAUUAGAUACCCUUGUAGGC